rnacentral:tRNA from 2 species
UUAGCUAUAGUUUAUUUUGAACAUUUAACUGUUAAUUAAAAAGAGCUUAUAUUACAGCUUAGCUAUC